CCUACGGGAGGCAGCAGUGAGGAAUAUUGGGCAAUGGACGCAAGUCUGAACCAGCCAUGCCGCGUGCAGGAUGACGGCUCUAUGAUUUGUAAACUGCUUUUGUACGAGGGUAAACCCCGAUACGUGUCUCGGGGUCAAAGUAUCGUACGAAUCAGGAUAGGCUAACUCCGUGCCAGCAGCCGCGGUAAUACGGAGGGUGCGAGCGUUGUCCGGAUUUAUUGGGUUUAAAGGGUGCGUAGGCGGUUUGAUAAGUUAGAGGUGAAAUGUCGGGGCUCAACCCCGCAAGUGCCUCUAAUACUGGUGGACUAGAGAACAGUAGCGGUAGGCGGAAUGUAUGGUGUAGCGGUGAAAUGCGUAGAGAUCAGACAGAACACCGAUUGCGAAGGCAGCUUACCAAUCUAUAUCUGACGUUGAGGCACGAAAGCGUGGGGAGCAAACAGGAUUAGAUACCCUUGUAGUC
rnacentral:rRNA from 1 species